rnacentral:rRNA from 1 species
UUUAAUUAUCAUAUAUAAAAGUGAAAAUAUAAAAUAUAAAUUAAUUUUAGUUGGGGCAACUGGGAGGGAUAAAAAUCUUUUAUUAAAUCAUUUAUAGUAAUAUUUAAAUUUAUGAUCCAAAUUAGUUAAUUUUGAACUUAGAAU